rnacentral:rRNA from 1 species
ACGAACGCUAGCGGCGUGCUUAACACAUGCAAGUCGAGCGGUAAGGCCUUCGGGUACACGAGCGGCGAACGGGUGAGUAACACGUGGGUGAUCUGCCUUGCACUUCGGGAUAAGCCUGGGAAACUGGGUCUAAUACCGGAUAUGACCAAGCCUCGCAUGGGGUUUGGUGGAAAGAUUUAUCGGUGCGAGAUGGGCCCGCGGCCUAUCAGCUUGUUGGUGAGGUAACGGCUCACCAAGGCGACGACGGGUAGCCG